rnacentral:rRNA from 1 species
CCUACGGGUGGCAGCAGUGAGGAAUAUUGGUCAAUGGACGAGAGUCUGAACCAGCCAAGUCGCGUGAAGGAUGACUGCCCUAUGGGUUGUAAACUUCUUUUAUAUGGGAAUAAAAUGUUCCACGUGUGGGAUUUUGUAUGUACCAUAUGAAUAAGGAUCGGCGAAAUCCGUGCCAGCAGCCGCGGUAAUACGGAGGGUCCGAGCGUUUACCGGAUUUAUUGGGGUUAAAGGGAGCGUAGGUGGAUUGUUAAGUCAGUUGUGAAAGUUUGCGGCUUAACCGUAAAAUUGCAGUUGAAACUGGUAGUCUUGAGUAGAGUAGAGGUGGGCGGAAUUCGUGGUGUAGCGGUGAAAUGCUUAGAUAUCACGAAGAACUCCGAUUGCGAAGGCAGUUCACUGGACUGCAACUGACACUGAGGCUCGAAAGUGUGGGUAUCAAACAGGAUUAGAUACCCGUGUAGUC